AACAUACUCCCUCCGUCCCAAAAUUCUUGUCUUAGAGUUGUCUAGAUACGGAUGUACCUAAUACUAAAACGUGACCUGAUACAUUAGUAUUUGGACAAAUCUAAGACAAGAAUUUUGGGACGGAGGGAGUAUAUU
rfam:Triticum aestivum genome assembly, contig: Triticum_aestivum_CS42_TGACv1_scaffold_131471_2BL